rnacentral:rRNA from 1 species
GACGAACGCUGGCGGCGUGCCUAAUACAUGCAAGUAGAACGCACAGUUUAUACCGUAGCUUGCUACACCAUAGACUGUGAGUUGCGAACGGGUGAGUAACGCGUAGGUAACCUGCCUGGUAGCGGGGGAUAACUAUUGGAAACGAUAGCUAAUACCGCAUAAUAUUAAUUAUUGCAUGAUAAUUAAUUGAAAGGUGCAAUUGCACCACUACCAGAUGGACCUGCGUUGUAUUAGCUAGUAGGUGAGGUAACGGCUCACCUAGGCGACGAUACAUAGCCGACCUGAGAGGGUGAUCGGCCACACUGGGAAUGAGAGACGGCCCAGACUCCUACGGGAGGCAGCAGUAGGGAAUCUUCGGCAAUGGACGAAAGUCUGACCGAGCAACGCCGCGUGAGUGAAGAAGGUUUUCGGAUCGUAAAGCUCUGUUGUAAGAGAAGAACGGGUGUGAGAGUGGAAAGUUCACACUGUGACGGUAUCUUACCAGAAAGGGACGGCUAACUACGUG